rnacentral:misc_RNA from 1 species
GAUGAAGAACGCAGCGAAAUGCGAUAAGUAAUGUGAAUUGCAGAAUUCAGUGAAUCAUCGAAUCUUUGAACGCACCUUGCGCUCCUUGGUAUUCCGAGGAGCAUGCCUGUUUGAGUGUCAUGAAAUUCUCAACCUUUUCAGCUUUCUUUGUUGAUCAGGCUUGGAUGUGGGAGUAUGCGGGCUUCUCAGAAGUCGGCUCUCCUGAAAUGCAUUAGCGGGACCUUUGUUGCCUGGCUUUGGUGUGAUAAUUAUCUACGCCAUUGUAGUCAAGGAGCUUAAAAUGAGGUUUCAGCUUCUAACCGUCUCCCCUGAGACAACUUUUUGACAAUUUGACCUCAAAUCAGGUAGGACUACCCGCUGAACUUAAGCAUAUCAAUAAGCGGAGGA